rnacentral:lncRNA from 10 species
GCUUAUUCAAAAUUAUCUAAAGACUCAAAUAAAGCCUUCUCCAAGAAUCACAAUAAAGGCCAAAUGCUACUCGUCCAGAGCUUACAGAGAGAUGGUGUAGGAGAGAGAACAAAAGAACAAACUCUCGUGGUGAAGGAGAAGAAAAGAAAGACAAGAGAAGAAACUCCCAAAUUCAUAUUCUGGGUGGACUCUACAUGGACUGAAAAGGACUCAGUGGAAAAAGUAAAGAAAUUCCUGAACUGUCAGCUUUCCCGUUUAAACAGUUAAGAAAACGAUUGCUGUUUUAUUUUUUUUCUAGACGGGCUCUAUCUUACACCAUUCAAGACUUUGUGGACACAACUAAGAACUCACAUAUAUGUUUUAGAAAUCUGUGGUACUGGGGCAACCCUCUUUGGGUCCCCUCCCAUUGUAUGAGAGCUCUGUUUUCACUCUAUUAAAUCUUGCAACUGCACACUCUUCUGGUCCGUGUUUGUUACGGCUCGAGCUGAGCUUUUGCUUGCUGUCCACCACUGCUGUUUGCCACUGUCACAGACCCACCGCUGACUUCAACCCCUCCAGAUCCGGCAGGGUGUCCACUGUGCUCCUGAUUCAGCGAGGCGCCCAUUGCCGCUCUGGAUCCAGCUAGAGGCUUGCCGUUGUUCCUGCACGGCUAAGUGCCCAGGUUCGUCCUAAUCCAGCUGAACACUAGUCACUGGGUUCCAUGGUUCCUUCUGUGACCCAUGGCUUCUAAUAGAGCUAUAUCACUCAUCGCAUGGCCCAAGGUUCCAUUCCUUGGAAUCCGUGAGGCCAAGAACCCCAGGUCAGAGAACAAAAGGCUUGCUGCCAUCUUGGGAGCAGCCCGCCCCAUCUUGGGAGUGGCCUGCCACCAUCUUGGGAACUCUAAGAACAAAGACCCGCCGGUAACAUUUGGUGGCCCGUACGGCGCUUCUCCAAAGCGAUACAUCCUGGGAAGGACCCUACCCAGUCAUUUUAUCUACCCCAACCAUGGUUAAAGUGGCUGGAGUGGAGUCUUGGAUACAUCACGCUCAAGUCAAACCCUGGAUACUGCCAAAGGAGCCCGAAAAUCCAGGAGACAAUGCUGGGUAUUCCUGUGAACCUCUAGAGGAUCUGCACCUGCUCUUCAAGCGACAACCAUGAGGAAAGUAACUAGAAUCGUGGAUCCCCAUGGCCCUCCUUUGUCACAUUUUUCUUUUUACUGUUCUCUUACCCCCUUUCACUCUCACUUCACUUCCUCCAUGCUGCUGUACUACCAGUAGCUCCUCUUACCAAGAGGUUCUAUGGAGAAUGUGGCUUCCCAGAAAUAUUGAUGUCCCAUCGUAUAGGGGUUUUUCUAAAGGAGACCCCACUUUCACCACCCACAACCAUAUACCCCUGCACUUCAGGCCAUACAUUUCAAUCCCUGUAUCUUUAACCUCCUUGUUAAGUAUGUCUCUUCCAGAAUCGAAGUUGUAAAACUACAAAUGGUUCUUCAAAUGGAGCCCCAGAUGCAGUCCAUGACUAAGAUCUACUGCAGACCCCUGGACCAGCCUGCUAGCCCAUGCUCUGAUGUUAAUGACAUCAAAGGCACCCCUCCUGAGGAAAUCUCAACUGCACGACCCCUACUACGCCCCAAUUCAGCAGGAAGCAGUUAAGAGCGGUCGUUGGCCAACCUCCCCAACAUCACUUGAGUUUUCCUGUUGAGAGUGGGGACUGAGAGGCAGUACUAGCUGGAUUUCCUAGGCUGACUAAGAAUUCCUAAGCCUAGCUGGGGAAGGGGACCGCACCUACCUUUAAACACGGGGCUUGUAACUCACCUCACACCCAACCAAUUAGGUAGUAAAGAGGACUCACUAAAAUACCAAUUAGGCUAAAAGCAGGAGGUAAAGAAAUAGUCAAAUCAUAUAUUGCCUGAGAGCGUGGGGGAGGGACAAUAUUCGGGAUAUAAACCCUAGGCAUUCGAGACGGGAGUGGGCAACCCCCUUUGGGUCCCCUCCCAUUGUAUGGGAGCUCUGUUUUCACUCUACUAAAUCUUGCAGCUGCACACUCUUCUGGUCCGUGUUUGUUACGGCUCAAGCUGAGCUUUCGCUUGCCGUCCACCACUGCCAUUUGCAGACCCGCCACUGACUUCCACCCCUCCGGAUCCAGCAGGGUGUCCGCUGUGCUCCUGAUCCAGCGAGGCGCCCUUUGCCGCUCUGGAUCCAGCUAGAGGCUUGUCAUUGUUCCCACAUGGCUAAGUGCUCGGCAGUUUUAAAAGAGUACAAACGACUAAAAGAGGCAAAACAGCCGAAAAUUAUUGUCUGCAGGAAAAAUUAGAAUCUCCAAGCACUGGAUCUGCUUUCAAAUAGCAGACCAGAAUCACUGUUACCAAAUGAAACAUUUAAAACUUAAGAGGAAAGUGGAAUAUAGAGGAAGUAAAUAGGAGAAGAGCUACAAAGAAAAGCAAAAACUGAAAAAAAGGUUUUCAAAUUAUGCUUCAAGGAAUCUCAUUGGCAAUACAGGAAGGCCUAUAAUCCCAGCACUUUGGGAGGGUGAGGUGGGCGGAUCACCAGAGGUCAAGAGUUGGAGACCAGCCUGGCCACCAUGGUGAAACCCUGUCUCUACUAAAAAUACAAAAAUUAGCCGGGCAUGGUGGCAGACACCUGUAAUCCCAGCUACAUGGGAGGCUGAGGCAGGAGAAUUGCUUGAACACAGGAGGCGGAGGUUGCAGUGAGCCGAGAUCAUGCCAUUGCACUCCAGCCUGGCGAUAGAGUGAGACUACAUCUCAACAAACAAACAAACAAACAAACAAACAAAAAAACAAGACAGAAUCUCACCAGGGAAGCCCCUUCUUUAUCUGUUUUAUAUAUUGAACAAUCAAGAUCAAUUCUAGUUGAAAAAAUAAUUAUUGCUUAACAAGUUUUGAAAACCACGGUACUAUACUUUUAAUAUGGUUGAUUAGAAGGGGUCAGGGAAAGGGGUCAGUUCAAACACAAAUGAAGCUAAAUAUGUCUGAAUACGGAGAAAAAAGGAACUCCAAGCAUUGUUUUCAUCAGAACAGUUAAAGACUUGAAGCCUUCUCAAAAGAAGGCCCAGUUGAAACAAUAGUUUAUCAGAGCAACAACUCAGAUUGCCAGUUUGGACAGCACCCAAGUACUACUUAAGACUCCUCCAUUCCCCAGGUUUAUUUUCAGCAUCAUCCUCAAGCAUAAUGUGCUUUCCCAAUGCACUAUUGCAACACCACUACACAUGAGGUAGAAACAGAAACCUUGCUAAACAGGUUCUGCGUUUGGCAAAAGUGCCAUGAAUAUGGGACAUUGUACAUCUCCAUGCCUGGGGAAAAUUCCUCGGUCUUUUUGGUUAACACCUUAUAGAAAUGUAAUGCAUGGAGUUCUCUACAUGAGCACAAAGUAGACUAAUUGAUACGAAGAGCCUGUAAAUAUGUGUGCAGCGGCAGAUUUUGAACAUUUGGACCGAACUGUAUUUGACACAGCGCAAUAUCUGGAACUGGUUGGUCAAAACCUGCUUGUCUUGUUAAAUUUCCUCUGUCCAAGGACAUGGAAUCUCUCUCUAAUUUUACUUCAAAUUUCCCUUUCCUUCAUUUCUCUAAAAACGUUAAAUAAGAAAGAAGAUUGUAAAGCCAGCAUUUGAAGCCUAAGUAUUGAAAGUCUUUGACAAUUUCUGAAAUCAGACUUGACAUCUUUCCCCCGCCUUGCAAAUUUCUUGAAGAAAUAAGAAGCUACAUGUAAGCAUCAUCAUGUUUAUUAAAUUACAAUGAGAACUCUCACUCAAUCUUGACCAGAGCAGACUCUUAACUUGGAAGCAGAGUCCCUCUAAAG